rnacentral:lncRNA from 1 species
UUAACGUGGCAAGACUGCCUUUGAAAGCAGUUAGGAAAGAUUCUAGUUUGUGUUGACUUCUUACUGUGGGUUGAAGCUGAAAGGCACAAGAGGAACAGUGUGAAGCUGAAGGACACUCGUUCAGAGUCUCAUCAUGUAACUCUGGCUGGCGUGGAGCUCAAACACCUUCUAAUCCUUGGAUACACAGCCUUGAGCUUCAGAACGAGCGUGUCUGGUAUACGUGUUCCUUCCACAUACCAGCUACCCUUGGAGAGCACUCAGGUCCGCCAAUUGGGGAAACACUGCUGUAUGUUCCCAAAGUCUGUCUGUCUGCCUUCUUGACCAAGGAGAGAAGUUCUGCUGAGAGCUGGAGAGCUGCCUCAGUGAUUAAGAGUGUGCACUAUUCUUCCAGAGGCUCCAAAUCCAGUUCCCCGCGUCCAUAGUAGGAGGCUUACAAUUGCCUAGAACUCCACCUUCAGGGAUCUGAUUCCAUUUUCUGGCCUUCACAGGCACCUAUACUCAAGUACAGAGACAUACAUGUAUACAUAUAAUUGAAACUAAUGCAAAUAAAUCUCUCAAAGAAAA